AUUUGGUCUUCAUCAACAUACCUUGCUAAUUCAACAUGAACGGUCUGGCUGGAGUCAACGCCCUUGUGUGGGUGGCCGUCGCAUUAGCUGUGCUGGUUAAUGAAGCUGCUGCUUCUCUAGGAGGUGGUGUUGGAGGUGGCAGAGAAGAUACUGCUAGUGAAUGAAUCCAAACUGAAG
rnacentral:lncRNA from 1 species